CCCAGAGGGAAGUCUCCGACCACAUUAAAACGCUGUCCUCACAACUUCAUAUGAUGUCAUUAGAAGCACUUAUUUGCAUCUUGCUGUCAUGUGAGCCGAAGCAGGAAUUAUGGAAAUGUGGAGACCGUGAAGAUCCCAGUGUGACACCAGUUCUUCAAAUCACCAUCUCUGCUUCAGAGAAAAAAAAGAGGUCACAGCGGAUAACCUGUUCUAGAUCACUACCCUGACACCAAGAGAUAUCCUUAUUUUACUAAUGAGGAAUGACAGACAGGGAAGAGACAUUUCCAGCAUGAAGCCAGUUGUGUAAACACAGGAUCUCGCUCUGCCAAAGAGGAGCUUGACUUCAAAACAAGGCUGAGACUGUGAACCUUGCAGAAGGGCUGCAGAGGAGACCUUUUGAAGUCCCCGCGUUUCUGGUUAAGGGCCAGUCAGAGAAGUGGGCAGCCAGGGCUUUGGCCUACAUGUGUCCAAACAACCAGAUGCUAAAGAAGAAGAGCGGGAGCCAUUGGCACAGAGCAGUCCAUGAAGGCAACAUCUGUCCAUUCCAGUCACGUCGCAAGAAGUCAAUGCAUGCAAAUGCAUGCUCUUAUGGUGCCUUUUUAGCCAAAUUUGAAGACAGGAUCCAGUAUAUCCAUUGCAGUGUAGGACAUGCCAUAAUUUCUUGUCAUGACCUCAAACAUUUUAAAGCAUUUUAAUUAUAGCGACUGGUGUUACUGCCUUAUUACAAGCAACAUUUAUUUUUGAGUGUACUGGACCAACUUUAUCCUGUAAAGCAAAGCCAGUU